rnacentral:rRNA from 1 species
UACAGAGGUCUCAAGCGUUGUUUCGGAUUCAUUGGGCGUAAAGGGUGCGUAGGCGGCGCGGUAAGUCGGGAUGUGAAAUCUCGGAGCUUAACUCCGAAACUGCAUUCGAUACUGCCGUGCUUGAGGACUGGAGAGGAGACUGGAAUUUGCGGUGUAGCGGUGAAAUGCGUAGAUAUCGUAAGGAAGACCAGUGGCGAAGGCGGGU